CCUACGGGCGGCAGCAGUGAGGAAUAUUGGUCAAUGGGCGGGAGCCUGAACCAGCCAAGUAGCGUGAAGGAUGACAGCCCUAUGGGUUGUAAACUUCUUUUAUAAGGGAAUAAAGUGAGCCACGUGUGCCGUUUUGUAUGUACCUUAUGAAUAAGCAUCGGCUAAUUCCGUGCCAGCAGCCGCGGUAAUACGGAAGAUGCGAGCGUUAUCCGGAUUUAUUGGGUUUAAAGGGAGCGUAGGCGGUUGUUUAAGUCAGCGGUAAAAUUGUGCGGCUCAACCGUACCGUGCCGUUGAAACUUGGUGCCUUGAGUAUGCGUGAGGUACAUGGAAUUCGUGGUGUAGCGGUGAAAUGCUUAGAUAUCACGAAGAACUCCGAUUGCGAAGGCAGUGUACCGGA
rnacentral:rRNA from 1 species